GGCCCAAUAGCUUAAUCGGUUAAAGCAGACGACUCAUAAUCGUUAUAGUGCAGGUUCAAGUCCUGUUUGGGCCA
rnacentral:tRNA from 1 species